CCAGUGAGAUGAACCAGGAAAAUCAGGAAUUUCUUCUUGGUUUGGAGCCAUUGCUGGACAUCCUUUGCCAUUCAACCUCUGAUUUGCACAAGGUGACUAAAGGACCAGCAGCAAACAAAAGCAAAGGUCUUCUAGAGUGCACUAAAGCAGAAGAUAACGUAACAUUUUUAUCUUACCAUGAAAGUAUUAUCUGAAGGACAGUUAAAGCUUUGUGUUGUUCAACCAGUACAUCUCACUUCAUGGCUCCUUAUAUUUUUUAUUCUAAAGUCUAUCUCUUGUCUAAAACCUGCUCGACUUCCAAUUUAUCAAAGGAA
rnacentral:lncRNA from 10 species